rnacentral:rRNA from 1 species
UACAGAGGGUGCAAGCGUUGUUCGGAUUUAUUGGGCGUAAAGCGCGUGUAGGCGGCUUUGUGUGUCGGGUGUGAAAGCCCUCGGCUUAACCGAGGAAGUGCGCCCGAAACUGCAGAGCUUGAGUGCCGGAGAGGAUAGCGGAACACCCGGUGUAGAGGUGAAAUUCGUAGAUAUCGGGUAGACACCAGUGGCGAAGGCGGCUAUCCUGGGACGGACACUGACGCUGAGACGCGAAAGCGUGGGGAGCAAACAGGG